GGGUUAAUAACUCAGCCUGGUAGAGUGCCAUUUUUACAAGUUGGAAGUCGUAGGUUCAAAUCCUGCUUAGCCC
rnacentral:tRNA from 1 species